GAUGAAGAACGCAGCGAAAUGCGAUAAGUAGUGUGAAUUGCAGAAUUCAGUGAAUCAUCGAAUCUUUGAACGCACAUUGCGCCCCUUGGUAUUCCGGGGGGCAUGCCUGUUCGAGCGUCAUUUCACCACUCAAGCCUCGCUUGGUAUUGGGCAACGCGGUCCGCCGCGUGCCUCAAAUCGACCGGCUGGGUCUUCUGUCCCCUAAGCGUUGUGGAAACUAUUCGCUAAAGGGUGUUCGGGAGGCUACGCCGUAAAACAACCCCAUUUCUAAGGUUGACCUCGGAUCAGGUAGGGAUACCCGCUGAACUUAAGCAUAUCAAUAAGCGGAGGA
rnacentral:misc_RNA from 1 species